rnacentral:lncRNA from 1 species
GCCAACGUUUGGUGAUGGGCAAUGGCGAUGGAGAUGAAUGCACGCAGACACGGUGCUAUUUUAAUAAAUUUGUACUUUAUUUUGGGGGUAACCGGCUACGAUGUGUAGAAAAAGCUACGGCUUUAUGAAACUUGCUGCCUUCUCGGUUUCUAAUACUUGAUUGCUGCAGGUCACGGGCCAUGCUAAGUAUGAUGAGCUUUGUUUUAUUUUUUAUCCAAUAAACAGUUAGAAAGCAAAGCUUGUGAGAUAGGAAAGUAAAACCUGUGAGAUGGGAAAAGAAUGCAUGCUUUUGUGUAACCAAUGAGAUCAACUGACCAUCAGAGAGAUGAAGAUAAAGAGUGAUGAAGAAACUCAAAAAGUUUUACAAUUUCUUUGCGGGAAGAAAAUGUUGCAGGCAAUAGCCUUGGGCAAAUGCAGUACUUGCUGCUCUUCAUGUGCUGGAUGUAACUUAUUCUGCUUGCAACUUCAUGAGACAUUGGACCCAAUUGGCCAAAGAUCUUCAUAUUAGGACCCCCAACUCAGAAACAAAUGAUUAGAUAAUAAUAAAAUUAAAACUCUAUGGACAAAUUAUCAAAUUUUGUUGUUGAAUAAUGCUGUACUUAUCAUCUCAAUUAAUGUGACACCAAUAUAAUUUCAC